rnacentral:rRNA from 1 species
CCUACGGGAGGCAGCAGUGAGGAAUAUUGGUCAAUGGACGAGAGUCUGAACCAGCCAAGCAGCGUGAAGGAUGACUGCUCUAUGGGUUGUAAACUUCUUUUAUAUGGGAAUAAAAUGUUCCACGUGUGGGAUUUUGUAUGUACCAUAUGUAUAAGGAUCGGCUAACUUCGUGCCAGCAGCCGCGGUAAUACGGAGGAUCCGAGCGUUAUCCGGAUUUAUUGGGUUUAAAGGGAGCGUAGGUGGAUUGUUAAGUCAGUUGUGAAAGUUUGCGGCUCAACCGUAAAAUUGCAGUUGAAACUGGCAGUCUUGAGUACAGUAGAGGUGAGCGGAAUUCGUGGUGUAGCGGUGAAAUGCUUAGAUAUCACGAAGAACUCCGAUUGCGAAGGCAGUUCACUGGACUGCAACUGACACUGAGGCUCGAAAGUGUGGGUAUCAAACAGGAUUAGAUACCCCUGUAGUC